UAAGCAUAUCAAUAAGCGGAGGAAAAGAAACCAACCGGGAUUGCCCUAGUAACGGCGAGUGAAGCGGCAAGAGUUCAAAUUUGAAAGCUGGCUCCUUCGGGGUCCGCAUUGUAAUUUGCAGAGGAUGCUUCGGGAGCGGUCCCCAUCUAAGUGCCCUGGAACGGGCCGUCAUAGAGGGUGAGAAUCCCGUAUGGGAUGGGGUGCCCGCGCCCGUGUGAAGCUCCUUCGACGAGUCGAGUUGUUUGGGAAUGCAGCUCUAAUUGGGUGGUAAAUUUCAUCUAAAGCUAAAUAUUGGCCGGAGACCGAUAGCGCACAAGUAGAGUGAUCGAAAGAUGAAAAGCACUUUGAAAAGAGAGUUAAACAGCACGUGAAAUUGUUGAAAGGGAAGCGCUUGCGAUCAGACUCGCUCGCGGGGUUCAGCCGGCCUUCGGGCCGGUGUACUUCCCCGCGGGCGGGCCAGCGUCGGUUUGGGCGGCCGGUCAAAGGCCCCUGGAAUGUAACGCCUCUCGGGGCCUCUUAUAGCCAGGGGUGCCAUGCGGCCUGCCCGGGACCGAGGAACGCGCUUCGGCUCGGACGCUGGCAUAAUGGUCGUAAGCGACCCGUCUUGAAACACGGACCAAGGAGUCUAACAUCUACGCGAGUGUUCGGGUGUCAAACCCGUGCGCGCAGUGAAAGCGAACGGAGGUGGGAACCCCCCGGGGUGCACCAUCGACCGAUCCUGAUGUCUUCGGAUGGAUUUGAGUAAGAGCGUAGCUGUUGGGACCCGAAAGAUGGUGAACUAUGCCUGAAUAGGCAAGCCAGAGGAAACUCUGGUGGAGGCUCCCAGCGGUUCUGACGUGCAAUCAAUCGUCAAAUUUGGGUAUAGGGGCGAAAGACUAAUCGAACCAUCUAGUAGCUGGUUCCUGCCGAAGUU
rnacentral:rRNA from 1 species